CAGUAGCCGCGGGAAAACGAAGGGGGCUAGCGUUGUUCGGAUUUACUGGGCGUAAAGGGCGCGUAGGCGGGCGAAUAAGUCAGGGGUGAAAUCCCAAGGCUCAACCUUGGAACUGCCUUUGAUACUGUUUGUCUUGAGUUCGAGAGAGGUAAGUGGAACUGCGAGUGUAGAGGUGAAAUUCGUAGAUAUUCGCAAGAACACCAGUGGCGAAGGCGGCUCACUGGCCCGGAACUGACGCUGAGGCACGACAGCGUGGGGAGCAAACAGGAUUAGAUACCCGCGUAGUCCCUGUCUCUUAUAC
rnacentral:rRNA from 1 species